GACAGAGGGUGCAAACGUUGCUCGGAAUUACUGGGCGUAAAGCGCGUGUAGGCGGACCUGCAAGUCGGACGUGAAAGCCCUGGGCUCAACCCAGGAACUGCAUCCGAAACUGCGGGCCUGGAGUGGUGGAGAGGGAAGCAGAAUUCCUGGUGUAGAGGUGAAAUUCGUAGAUAUUAGGAAGAACACCAGUGGCGAAGGCGGCUCACUGGCCCGGUACUGACGCUGAGGCGCGAAAGCGUGGGGAGCAAACAGG
rnacentral:rRNA from 1 species